AUAUGGCUGUGGCUUUCAAACCAAGCAGUGGGCAGGAGCUGAAAGAACUUUGGGUGAGAGUAUUAGUGAAACCCUAAAGCGGCUCAAAGAGACUUCUAGCAGAAUCCUGUUAGCCUUCAAGGAGACUGCGUUGGCAAGAGUACGAAGAAAAUGCUGCUGGAAAGCAGAGGAAUGAGAUCCUUGCUAUGCAAUGGCACUGCCUGUGGUGUAAUGGAACCGUGGUGUAAUGGCCCCGUUGCCUGCAGGGAUGUAGAAAGUAGAAAAUGUAUCUAAUGAGCUGGACGAUCUAGCAAAGGAGAUUUGCAGCCAGAGUGUUGGAGAUGUUAUUUGGUUUCUUCUUGCUUCCAAUCAUAAAGAGCAGGAAAAGAGAGGAAGUCAGCUGCCCUGUUAUGAGGAUAAAAGUAGCCCUUGAAAGGUCCAUGUGGUGAAGAACUUGGGCCUCCUGCUACAAGCUAGCACAAACUUGCCAGCCACCGAGAAUCAGCUCCAGUCAAGCAUCAAAUGACUCCAGUCAAGCUAGCCACCCCUAUGAUUACAUCUUCAGGUAGAGGCAGUGAUCCAGACCCACCAGAAUAAAGAAGGAAGGUUCCACCCACCAGGGAAAUGGUUUCACCAGUCAUGUGCUUAAGGGACAAGUCAUAAUACAACCACCAAGAUUUCAUGGAGCCACAAAGAUCAGUCCUCUUAUCAGUGAGAAAUUAUUUCCACUGAUAGAACUGGAGAAAGAUGUAGACUUUUAUUUGUUCAUCAAAUGCAAUCUUCUAAAAAACUCAUACCAAGAGGGAAAAAAAUGCAGCUUCAAGAAAUGGUAGCAACUGAAUAGUCACCCGUCGACCAAGG